CACUCAAACAGAUCUUCUUCCUCAAGUAACACAAGGGCAAACUGAUGAUCUAAGCAACAUGGCCUGCUCAGGGUGGGACAAUUGCAGAGUCAUCUGGGAGCCUGAGUGUUGACUGCACCCUUUCCCUUGCAUCAUGAGAAAGCAAUGCUCAAUGCACAGAGCUGGAAAGGGCCCAAGACCACCGAUUCAUUCUGUGAAGACCAGCGGGCUGCCAGCAGCCUUAAACAACUGUUGAUCACCAACACCAACGAAUUCCAAACAGAUUACCAAAAAAGGGCAAGGCCAAAACCCAUUUCUGGGCUAUAAAAACAGAUUCCUCCAACUGUCGUUACGGUGAGUAAUUCAGCUUGUUUGCAGAUGACAGGCAGAGCAGAGCUGUCAGUUGCUGGCAGAAGGAAAACAUGCAAGCCCUUGGAAGUUGUGCAGUUUUCCUUUAUUUUGCCUGAGUAGCUGCUAACAUCACAAACAGCUUUUCUGAAGAAAACGCCAAAUCUAUCCUGUUUUACUUCAGAAUGAAAAAACAGUUACUCAGAAUUCCCCCAGCAUCAACUUUAGGCUGUAUUUACGAGAAGAGAUUUCUUUCCUUCCCCCUCCCUAACUUGUCUUUCUCUUCCCAAGAGUCUGCAGCCUGCUGGCUCUUAGGUAACCUUGGCAGACUAGCAACACCAAGCAUCCUACCAUAUCAGACCUUCAUUUGCUUCCAUUCCUGAAAUAAGGCAACUUAAAAAAGCCAAACUCACAGACAGGCCAUUAAGUCACAUCAUGUGCUUUCUUAUGCUCAUUUCCACAUGUGGCGUGUGGCAGUGAACCCAUCUUUCCCAGUUCCACCUCCCUUCUGUGCCAACCUGGGACUGUGUGUGCCAGGCAGAAAGGCCAGCAUCACGUGGUGGGAUGCAUGCAUGCAGCCCAAAUUGGGCAAGCAGUCAGGACAGAGGAUGUCUCUGUAUGCAAAUCUCUGCUCACCUUCCUCCCCACACAGGCAUGUGAUGACUGGCUAGCAAUCAUAAUAAAAACAUAAGGAAAAAUUAGGCGUUACCACCCAAAUCUUUUGCUGUGUCAAUGCACAAGGUAAUCCUAGAGCAGAUUAGUCAGCAGCUUCCCGCUAUCCUAUAAUCUCCUGCAUAAACUCCACUAUUCCAACAUUGCUGUUCCUAUAGCCCAUAUCCUCAGAUAACCCACUGCUGCUGUGUGCCCUUCUCUGGGAAGAUGUGGCAUGAAGGGAAAAAAUACUCUGAGCUGAGACAACUCCCCAUUUAUUGUCUGUAGAUGUACACAGAAGGGCUGAGAAGUCAGUACAGGUAAUAUCUGGCUACCACACAAGAAAAUGUUUGCUUUCAUUUAAGUCAAUAACGUCAGUUAAAAUGCUUAGCAGAAAUUUCUUCAUGGCUCCCUGAUUCAAGAUCCUUUGGUAAGUGAAAAGCAGAGUGGUAAUUUUUGUAAGUUUAUGGCUAAGAAAACAUAACCAGGUUACUAUAAUGUGUCACCUACACCACCAUAGGGACACUGUUGAAGAUGUGUUUGGCAUGGAAAUAUCACUAUGGAUUUUGGGGUAAAGUAAAAGAAAUAUAUACGCUUUUAACUAUAUAGUAUCACCAUACAUGGAAUUGAGCACAUUGAAAAAGUCAGUCUUCAGAGAUUUUUUGCUGUUUCCGACAGGUUCUUUUGCUACUGAAGUUUGAAAAUAUUCUCUUUUUUAUUAGUGAGAGACAGAUUGGUUGAAUUCUAGAUUUGAAUAUGAUCUCGUUGUCCAACUGCUUUAAUUUCCUCAAAUAAAAUUCUGCAGGGUUAAAAACAAAAUCCUACUUCAUCCAUCUUCGCAGUUGUCUUUGCUUUAAAAAAGCUCCUACUUCGACUUCAACAUGAACUUCUUUGUACACGUCCCACACACAUUCAGAUGGGCAGUUAUGCGUCUUCAUAACCUCAGCAGUUAAAAUUUUGUUUAAAUAUACCCUGGUUCAAGGAGUUCCAGAGCAAGCCAAGUGUGUUGCCUGCUGUACACAGCCUUAAAAGCGAGGUCUGUUUGCAUUUGUGUGUGUCAUU